rnacentral:rRNA from 1 species
CCUACGGGAGGCAGCAGUGAGGAAUAUUGGUCAAUGGACGCGAGCCUGAACCAGCCAAGUAGCGUGAAGGAUGACUGCCCUACGGGUUGUAAACUUCUUUUAUAAAAGAAUAAACUUAGGCACGUGUGCCUUUUUGUAUGUACUUUAUGAAUAAGGAUCGGCUAACUCCGUGCCAGCAGCCGCGGUAAUACGGAGGAUCCGAGCGUUAUCCGGAUUUAUUGGGUUUAAAGGGAGCGUAGAUGGGUUGUUAAGUCAGUUGUGAAAGGUUGCGGCUUAACCGGAAAAUUGCAAUUGAUACUGGCAGCCUUGAGUACAGUUGAGGUAGGCGGAAUGCGUGGUGUAGCGGUGAAAUGCUUAGAUAUCACGAAGAACUCCGAUUGCGAAGGCAGCUUACUAAACUGCCACUGACAUUGAUGCUCGAAAGUGUGGGUAUCAAACAGGAGUAGAUACCCGAGUAGUC